ensembl:lncRNA
CACUGGGGCCAGCACUGCCCUGUGCUCCUCCAUGCCCUGGGUUCAGUGCACACAGUGCCCAUCACACACCAUUGUGAAGGUGCUGGGGGUGAUGGAUGUGUGACCAGGACCGAUUUGGGGAACAACACAAAGAAUAUCAGCAUCCAGCACUGUACUAAAGCACAGUUAUGCUUUAUUCUUUAUCCUAAAAACAUGUCCUAGCAGACUGUACACUGUCUCCUGUAAAUGCUGUGGGAGGUGAAAGUGUUCAUCAACCUAAAACAUUCUGGUUUGGGGUUUGCUUUUUUUUAUCUUUGGCUCUACCUUACAGGGAUAAGAUAAACCUCUGCCUAUACUCACAGGUGAGGUCUCUUUCAAGAGGAUCUGAACCUUUAUAAUGUUCCCUGAAAAGAUAUUAGAUACUGAACUGUGUAUUAAAGUAUCUACAGGAGGACUGUAAGAAAGAAGGGGACAGACUCUUCAGCAGGGUCUGUGUGAUAGGAGAAGGGGAAAUGGCUUCAGACUGCAAGAGAGGAGAUUGAGGCUGGAGAUAAGGAAGAAGGUUUGGCACUGAGGGCGGUGAGGCAGUGGCACAGGUUGCCCAGAGAGGCAGUGGUGCCCCGUCCCUGCAGACAGCCAAGGUCAGGCUGGACGGGGCUGUGAGCACUGCUGGAGCUGUGGCUGUCCCUGUGCACUGCAGGGAGUGGCACCAGGCGGCCUUUGGGGGUCCCUUCCAGCUCAGACCAUUCGAAGAUCUAUGAUUCAUCUCCCAAUGGAACAUGGCAAGAUUCUUCUGCUCACCAGAGCACUUUGCCUUCUUAAGAGUGCAAAUAUGAAAGGAGAGCUCAUCAGCCAUAAUGCUGCACUGGGGCUGUUCAUUUCACUUAGGUCCCUACCUCAGCUAUGCUGUGCUCUUGUGCAAGGACUGUCCAGUGCCAACAUGCCUCACACAGCAGUGCUGUCCAUAAAGGGGCCGCUGUAUCCCCACUCAGGGACCCAGCCCUGUCCCAGAGAGGCCAGCCCCACGCUGCUGAUGGAGGUGCAGCGCUGAAGAUAUUCCUGAGAGUGUUUAAAUGCAGCACAAAAGGAACAGAGCUGAUGUUAAACAAAGCAAUUAUUUCCAAACUUGAGCUUUUACAAUGGAGACAAAUUGUAAUCACACCCUUUGAAACCUGCAAUUACAAGCAGUUCCCACUAACCCCAUGCCCUCCUCCUUUGUUAUACAUAGAAAUUGAGCCACCAGGCAUUAGCCAUUACUUGUCUUUUGUUUCCUGAUACUCAGCAGAACUUCCCUGAACUUGCUAGAACUGUUCACUCCCCACAGUGUUUCAGGGGCCCUUUUCAAGCUGGACCUUAAAGGGGGGCUGUAAGAAGGAAGGGGACAGACUCUUCAGCAGGGCCUGUGUGAUAGGAGAAGGGGAAAUGGCUUCAGACUGCAAGAGGGGAGACUGAGCCUGGAGAUAAGGAAGAAGGUUUGGCACUGAGGGCGGUGAGGCAGUGGCACAGGUUGCCCAGAGAGGCGGUGGUGCCCCGUCCCUGCAGACAGCCAAGGUCAGGCUGGACGGGGCUCUGAGCACUGCUGGAGCUGUGGCUGUCCCUGUGCACUGCAGGGAGUGGCACCAGGCGGCCUCUGAGGGUCCCUUCCAACUCAAACCAUCCUAUGAUGCUAUGAUCUUCCUUCACAAGAAGUUUGCAAAACAGAAGAGAAGAUGCAUCUGGCCAGAGUUAAACUGAGAGGUUUUGUGCAGUAGGAAAAUGCAUUAGCUGAGAAAGCAACCUCUCAGAUUCUUCUGUGAAAAAAAUCCCUUGAGUUCCCUACAACACAAAAACAACACUGAGCAGAGCCAAUAAAUACAUCUAGCUGACAUCUCAGAGACCAGGCACAGUUACGCAUCAGUCUUCAACUGAGCAGCAGUGAUCUCA